GCCAACGAUAAAUAUCUGAUGUGAACCUCAAAAACAAUACCGUCAAAAAUAAACCGCUCCAAAUUUUGAGUGUUGAAAUUUUCGCGAAUAAAUUUUCGAUUUCUUGUAAAACCAUAAACGAAGAUAAAUUGUACAAACCUGUUCGAUCGGUAUGGGGGUUUGCAACAGAGGCGAGAUCUCCGUCCCUUUCUACGCUUGGAAGGGAUGGAAUUUCGCGACAUUAAUUUUCCUGAUUACCGCCGUCGCAUUGAUUAUCUAUCAACGAAUGAACAAGGGUUGAUUUCAUCGGAAAAAACCUGCAACGACAUCAAAGCCGCACCACCACCACCACCACCACCACCGGUAGAGUGAGCGAAUAAUUAUAACAAAAUGGAGAAACGUGCGGACGCGAGGAAAAAAAUUCACAACGCAACCGGCUCGAGUGAUUAUUUAAUACCGCUAACUGAAAUGAAACAAAGCGAUUCGGGACGAAGUACAAUCGGAGAAUGUUACAACGCGAACAAAAAAAAACCCUCACGAAACGAACCUUGAAAAAAUAUAAAUCCUCGACAACGUAUAGGAAAUUUCUCCAUUUGUAAAUUACAUUCGAACCGCGGUGCGGGAUGGUCGAAGGUACCGCAAAUAUUCACCUUUUCACGGGGUGGGCGAUCGGCGAGGUUCAUCAGCGAUGUAAAUCGAUUCGUCGGACACCGGUUAAUUCCAUCGCAGGUAACCGAAUGAAGCUUGAAGGACACCUUUGACCUUUUCGAGGUGAGGGUCCACUUGAGUCUUCAGUUCGGACCCGUUUCGGCGUGGGCUGGUACAAAGGAUGGGUGCCGACGCCGCUAAGUGUAUACACCGUAUAGUUUGAAGGGUGCCGAUUGUCACGCGCAACGGUCGCAAUAAUCAAGGCGCACGAGUAGGGCGAGGAGCGCGGCGGCAGAACGGAAAGGCAAGAGGCAUGCGGACAAUCGUUGUACCCCGAUAAGAAAACACAUUGCCUAGUCUCUACGAACAUACUAUACACACGGUAGGUACGUACUUAACACCUGAAACAAUAAAUAACCAUGUGAUAAACGCGUUUAAUCUCGAAAGGAUAUCCCCUUUCAACGUAAAACUUAUUGUUCCCCGUGUCAGUGGUACUCAAACAAAAGAGCAGAUAAUCCCCAUGGAGUAUGCGCUGGGGUGUUUCAUUUUUGGACGAUAUUUUUUUUUCUUCCUACCCGGAAAUGUAAUAUGUAUUUCAUAUACAAGAAGAGGAAUAUCCCUGUUGGAGAAAAAUUACAAAUGAAUCAGUGACUUAGCUCAUCCGAAAAUUCGAUUUCCUGUUUAAAUAACACAAAAUUUUUGAAAACGAAAUGAAAACUUUAUUCCUCUGGUUCUUACCGAACACGAUUUUCUCGGGGCUCAAAAGCGCGUUCGGAUUACAUUUUCAUCCACGAAUUUGCUUUCUAUUUGGCCGAGCAAUUGCGAAUACUCUCGAUACAAUUUUUCGGUAAAACAUCAACUGCUUACGAUACUGCACUCGUCGAUCUGUGCAGCUUCGUUUACCAUUUCACGUAAAGUGCUUUUCACGGUAUACACCGUAUAGCUAUGUACAACCCAUUUUAUUACUUCAAAACAUAUCCUGUCUGACGAUGAAUGCACCGCCGACUAUUAUCGCCCAAACUAUCCUUUGUAUCCCAAACGUAGUCGAGUUAUAUAACUGCACCGACGAACGACUCGGUAGCGAAAUUCUAAUAUUUCAUCCGAGCACCGCGUAGCUGCAGCGCGAGGGGGUGAGUCCUCAACCCCGUUCAAAGAGUUUCCUCGAUAAGAAACGCUGGCGUGGUAUCGUCGAGCUUUUUUCUUUUAAUGGGGACAUUCGUUUCAGAAAUGGGAAUCAACGAACGGAGUUCGAGCCUCGGAUUCGGUUCAUCGUGGAACGGAGAUUUACAUGGUCAUUCUCUGUCAUCUACGUGUAUCGUAGCUAGGAUGUAAAAGUAAAAGGGAAGAGUCGCUUUCGAACCAUUCGCAGCGGUUUCGGCGGCCGCGUGGUUAACGUCGUGAAAUGUUAUUACCACUCGUGUGAUUCAUGCACGAUCCUGUGCAGCGCAGCGAUUUGGAUCGCGGAACGUUUUCUUAAAACGUUUUCAGCGUACUUUUCUCGUCCAGUAAAGUUUCAUUCAACGACAUCUUUACUCGUAAGACACGAGUAACGGGAUAUAACGGAUCCAAUUACAUUAGCAUCCAGUAUCAACCCGAUUUGCACUUUGUGCCAGUACUGCCUUUGCAUCUUAAGCUGGCGUCUACUAAAGAAGAUGUCCUUGUUCCGAUAAAUAUCCCCAACCGGAUAUCUUAUAUAUCUGCGCCACUUUUAUACCGGUAUAAACGCCCGAGGAGUGGGAAAAAUGAUUUUCUUUAAAUUCCGAGGCUUCGAAGAGCGCUCGAAAUUCAUUUCAUCCGUAACGAUUAAUCGGCGAGAAAUACCUGGCGUGGAUUUAGACGCGGUAUGAAGGGGACCUCGACAGCGAGGGUGGCGGUUAAAUCAUGUGCACGUAUACAUGCAUCGUAAUCUGUCAAACCGCAAAACCUGCGGUAACAAGCGAACGACUUAAUGGCAACCACGGUGUGCUCGAUGAAAUUGAUAAAUGGGCACUCUAGCUCGCUCGCAUCACCCUCCUACUCACGUCAAACUGCGCUAGUUGAUGGACAAUAAUUUAAUUCAACUUUCCGAGAUAUAAAUUUUUCAGUGCUAGAGAGUAAGAAAGGAAGAGAGAGAAGAGAGAAAGAGGGGGAGAGAAAAUGAAAAAAAAUUUCUGACACGUUGAACUCGACUCAAUCUUAGUUUAAAAAUUAUACACAUCACGUGUACAUUAUUUUGGGUCCAUUCCCCCUACGAGUUUGCGUCCAACGCGUAAGCAGAAUUUGAAUUAUUCAUUCACAGCUCGCCGAACCCCGGUACCGUAAUAUGUUACCUGGCACGCUGCACGUCACGAUGAUGAAUGAUCUUGAUUGGCUCGUCGAUUCGAGAAAGACAUUUAACACCAUCUAGUGCAGCUGACGGUAAGCGAACGCCGACACGGUGACAAAACCGCGCGUCGAUAUCUUUGGAUCUGGAUACGAGCGACUGUGGUCGAAUGAAUUUCUACCUUCUUUGCGGUAGUUGAAGAAAAAAGCAAACAAAUAAUUAAUUGACAAUUGUUCAAGUACGGACUGCCCUGUGCAUCUUGUUUGUAACUUUUUUUUUUUUUUUUCAUCUUUCCGAACAUCUCUUGCGAAUCGUGAAAAAUCAGACGAAUGGAAAAUGAACGCGUUCGAACGAUUUUGUUCCAAAAAGAAGUUUCUAUAAUGACUCCGAGGGUCCGAUAGAUACUUCUCUGCAACGCGCACUUCAACUAUAGAAAUGCCAUCAAUUUAUUCAAUGAAAUUGCUGUAACGAUCAGGAUACGAAUAUAGUUUUUUUUUAACAAGACAUUAAAAAUAUUCUCCAGUCAGCCUAUAGACAGCUGCUAUGGUAUAUUCCAUAUUUUACAUGCACCGUUCGCACAAAAUAAUGUUUGCUGAUCCGAAGGUUCAAACAUGGUGAGAAAAUUUACACAACUGUUCUACCAGACCAAAAACAAAAAUAUCAUAAGCGUUCACCGUCUGUUAAAAUAAGAUCUAAUACGGUCCUUGAAAAAAGUCAACAAUGUUAUAAGAUAGUCGUCG